UACGGAGGAUGCAAGCGUUAUCCGGAUUCAUUGGGUUUAAAGGGUGCGCAGGCGGAUUGGUAAGUCAGUGGUGAAAUUCUAGUGCUUAACAUUAGACCUGCCAUUGAUACUGUCAGUCUAGAGUAUAGUUGGAGUGGGCGGAAUGUGUCAUGUAGCGGUGAAAUGCUUAGAUAUGACACAGAACACCGAUCGCGAAGGCAGCUCACUAAGCUAAAACUGACGCUCAUGCACGAAAGCGUGGGGAUCAAACAGGAUUAGAUACCCUGGUAGUCCACGCUGUAAACGAUGAUUACUCGAUGUUGGCGAUACACAGUCAGCGUCUGAACGAAAGUAUUAAGUAAUCCACCUGGGGAGUACGUUCGCAAGGAUGAA
rnacentral:rRNA from 1 species